CCGGAGGAGGCGAGCGCUGGGGACGCAGCACCUGCCCCGCGCGGCCGAGAGGCGGCAGCCCCAGGUCCCCAGCGCGCGAAAUUAGUAAAGGGCGCCUGGCCCGAUUCUCAGAAGUGGCUCCCUUCGCCGCAACUCCACACCUCGGGGUAACCGUAGAGAUUGGCAGCAAUGCCCCAGCCCCUCACCAGCACUGUGCAAAGUGACUUUGACAGGCAGAGAAAAGCCAACCCAGUCGAAUUCGUCUGGAAAGCAUUCCAGCAACCCAGAGAGGAGCCUCUGUUUCUCUCUCUGGGAAAAAGCCCCAAGGGUUUUGCUGAACCCAGGUCUUCCUGCUCAUCUCUCAGCAGUUCAGAGCUACAUAAACAACUUCUGACCAUUUACGCAAUCAUGUAAACCUACCCUGACAUCUCCACUAUGUGGAAAAGAUGUUAACUGGAAAACUAUUUUUAAACUACUGCAGUAAGCAAAUAAACAUCCAACUCCAACAUAUAUAUGCAGCAGCCUUAUUAGUUCAUUCAGUGUUGGUUUGGUUUGUUUGUUUUGUCUUCUGCUUUUUAGAAUUAAUUAUUAUCUUUAUAAUUCCUGUUCGAGAAGUGGGCAAAACCAGGCUAGUGAUAGGUAUUGUUGUGGUCAAAUUUUUCAUCACUUGAAAUUCCAUGACUUUCAUGAUUGCUGAGAUUAAUGCUAAAUAAAGAAGUUACCCCCCCGCCCCCACCCCACCCCAACCUCCCCACCAAAGUUUCCUGAUUACUUAAACUUGGAGAGAAAUUUUCAGGCUUUUUCCUCCCUCCUUGCCUGGUAUGUGUCUGUAAUAGAGGUACUUUUGCAAAACUGGAAUGUUGGUGAUGCAGGUGUUUUCCAUGGUAAACAGCCACUGAGGAUCAAUGGUUCCCAGGUUCCCACUCACUUUGAAGGCUUUUGUGCUUCUGCCGGAACUGUGACUUUUACUACCUGUACUAUGUAUGAUUUUUUUUUACAUUGAUUAUUUCUCUGCAACUAGUCAAUUAAAAGUACAUAUAUAUAACUUUUAGUAAGACUGUUUAUCAAA
rnacentral:lncRNA from 10 species